UUUCAUAAGCACCAAGCGGCAUUAUCCUCGAUUUUCAUCCUGGUAUUAACUUUAAUACGCCGAUUUUGGCGUAUUAAGAUAAUCCGAGAUUUUUUAAAUGUACGCAGCCAAAACCAUACUUGCUCUCACGCACACCUGCAAAGGUAAAUAACGACAGCUGCAUGUUUACUUUUUGCGCUCUGCUUCGAAUCCAAGUUUUUCGUUCUGAUGCAAAAGUCUUAAAAUAAAAAGUAUUUUGUCGAUCCUUAAAAUAACGCUUUGUUUUGCAACGACGCUCCGAUGGAACAACUGAAGAUGUUGGAAGCAGGUUGGAAGUAGUGCUGUUGCCAACGAUCACGUUAGUUUUUGAUUCGCUAUUCGUCGGAUCGCUAAACCAUUUUAUUAAAACUUUGUGGUCUCUAGAACCGAUAUUGAUCGACCUGGCGCACCGGCGCUAAGUGCUCGAAAUCAGGCGAAAAAAUUGGUUCCGGAUAAAAAGAUACCAUCGUUAUCAAUCAUAUCCUUUAUCGAUAAAAUCGGAUGGGAAAGGUGUGUCUAAUUAUGCAUCUAUUUCAAUCAAAAUUCAGGUGGCAUUAGUGGCUGCCCGGAUAAAAAAUAUGAUUAGAAUAUUAUAAAUUUUACUGUUACAUCACCAUGUAAAACAUAGAAAUUACCAUUGAAUGUAAUGGAAUUUUAACAACUAAAUCACAUCAGAGACAAUUGUUUUCCACGAUUAAAUGAAUGGUAAAUGGGACUUUUACAAUAAAAAAUGGGGGUUGUUAUGUAUCUUUACAAUAAAAAAAUCGAAAAAUUUUCAUACAAAAUUCAGAGCAAAACAAUUGAUUUAACGGUUCUUCAAUGGGAUGAUUUCGAAGGCCAAAACAA